rnacentral:rRNA from 1 species
AUUGAACGCUGGCGGCAGGCCUAACACAUGCAAGUCGAGCGAGCGGCGGACGGGUGAGUAAUGUCCGGGAAACUGCCUGAUGGAGGGGGAUAACUACUGGAAACGGUAGCUAAUACCGCAUACCAUCAGAUGUGCCCAGAUGGGAUUAGCUAGUAGGUGGGGUAACGGCUCACCUAGGCGACGAUCCCUAGCUGGUCUGAGAGGAUGCCCAGCCACACUAGAACGGAGCAAGGUUCCAGCCUCCUACGGGAGGCAGCAGUGGGGAAUAUAGCACAAUGGGAGCAAGCCUGAAGCAGCCAUGCCACGUGUGUGAAGAAGGCCUUCGGGUUGUAAAGCACUUUCAGCGGGGGGGCGUUACCCGCAGAAGAAGCACCGGCUAACUCCGUGCCAGCCGCCGCGGUAAUAC